ensembl:lncRNA PVT1 Pvt1 oncogene
UUUUUUUUUUUUGUUUGUUUGUUUUUUGAUACAGAGUUUCACUCUUGUUGCCUAGGGUGGAGUACAAUGGCGUGAUCUCAGCUCACCACAAGCUCUGCCUCCCGGGGUCAAGCGAUUCUCCCCAGUAGCUGAGAUUACAGGCAUGCGCCACCACGUCCGGCUAAUUUUGUAUUUUUAGUAGUGAUGGGGUUUCUCCGUGUUGGUCAGGCUGGUCUCGAACUCCUGACCUCAGGUGAUCCGUCUGCCUCAGCCUCCCAAAGUGCUGGGAUUACAGGAGUGAGCCACCGAGCCUGGCCGCUUCCGGUCUUUGGAUUUGAUUUUCCUCAAGUGUAAUUGAAAGCAGGGGCCUGGAUGGCCGCCAUAGUCCCUCCCAGCUUCGACAUUACACAUUCCUGCCAAUCCAUUUUUCAGGCUGAUAACAUUGUUCAGAGUUUAAUGGGAGCAGGGUAAGAUAGUCACCGUGUGGAGCAAAAAUUGAAGGAAAUAUUCCAGAUGUCAUGAUUUUUUACCUGUAGCCCCUCUGCUGCCACACCCUUGUGCACAUCCUCCAGACACUUUUAAAGAAUAAACUCUAUUUUCAGAAGAGUUUUAGAUUUACAGGAGAAUUGUGAAAACAGUUCAAAAAGUUCUCAUAUACCCUGCUCCCAGUUUUCCCUGUUACUAACGCUUUGCAUUAGUGUGGCACAUUUGCCACAAUUAAUGGACCAAUAUUGAUACAUUAUUAUUUACUGAAGUUGAAACAUUACUUUAGUUUUUACCUGGUCCAGGAUCCCAUCUGGGAUCCCACAUCACAUUUAGUGAUCAUGUCUUCUUAGAUUGCCCUGGGCUGUGCCGCUUUCUCAGACUCUCCUGGUUUGUGAUGACAUUGACAGUCUUGAGUUUUGAUGACCAGUUUUGACUGGUCAGGUAUUUCAUAGAACGUACCUCUGUGAGGGUUGUCUGAUUCUUCUUCUUAUUAGAUUGGGAUUAUGGAGGAAGGCCACAGAGGUAAAGUUCCGCUUUUAUGAAAUCAAGGGUAGGCACCAUCAGCAUGACCUAUCACUGAUGUUGACUUUGAUUACCUGGCUGCUGUAGUGGUUGUCAGGUUUGUCCACUUUAAAGAUACUUUUGUGUUUUUGUUCUUUCUUAACUCCCUUUUUAUAUUAAACUCUUCAGAAGGAAGUCACUGUGCAUAGCCAUCCCCUAAGAAGAGGGCAUUCCUGCUCUUCCUUCUCCAUGGCUAGAGGAUCUACAUGAACUAUUUAGAUUUUUUCUACCUGGGAGAUUUAACUCCUCUCUCCUAUUUAUUUAUUUAUAUAUCAGCAUGGACUUGCAGGCCAACAGAGAUUUUGAGAAACACAUUGAAGGAUCUGUUAACACUUGAUAUACCCAAUAAAAGCAGUGGUUGUGCCAGUGCUGAUCUGUCUUGAUGUGAAUGUGAACAAUGGGAACCUGAGCUGAGCAGUUAAUGCUAGGGUGACAGAAACUGGACCUCUCCCAAGACAUGUGACAGAGUAAUACAGCAGCCAACUUCUUCGCCAAAUUAAAGUUUUACAAGAUUUAACCUGUCAUCAAGACCUGGGAUUUUGGUGAGCCAGUCUUGGUGCUCUGUGUUCACCUGGUUCAUCUGAGGAGCUGCAUCUACCCUGCCCAUGCCAUAGAUCCUGCCCUGUUUGCUUCUCCUGUUGCUGCUAGUGGACAUGAGGUAACCACAGCCUAGUUCUGUGAUAAGCUCUUCACACCUGUACCCAUAUGGACUGUGGGAGAGUUUCUCUGAUAUGGACUGUGAUGCGGAAGGACAGAAUAACGGGCUCCCAGAUUCACAAGCCCCACCAAGAGGAUCACCCCAGGAACGCUUGGAGGCUGAGGAGUUCACUGAGGCUACUGCAUCUUGAGACUCAGGAUGAAGACCCAGCUUGGGGCUGUCAAAGGUUUUUUGCAUGUCUGACACCCAUGACUCCACCUGGACCUUAUGGCUCCACCCAGAAGCAAUUCAGCCCAACAGGAGGACAGCUUCAACCCAUUACGAUUUCAUCUCUGCCCCAACCACUCAGCAGCAAGCACCUGUUACCUGUCCACCCCCACCCCUUCCCCCAAACUGCCUUUGAAAAAUCCCUAACCUAUGAGCUUUGAAUAAGAUGAGUACGAACUUCAUCGCCCACGUGGCGUGGCCGGCCUCGUGUCUAUUAAAUUCUUUUUCUACUACAA